rnacentral:rRNA from 1 species
UAUGGUGUCCUAGGCAUAGAGGAACCACACCAAUCCAUCCCGAACUUGGUGGUUAAACUCUACUACAGUGAUGAUACUGUAGGGGAGGUCCUACAGAAAAAUUGCUCGACGUCAGGA